rnacentral:rRNA from 1 species
AACGAACGCUGGCGGCGUGCUUAACACAUGCAAGUCGAGCGGGAAAGUUUCCUUCGGGAGGCGAGUAGAGCGGCGCACGGGUGAGUAACGCGUAGGUAACCUGCCUUAGAGUCUGGGAUAACUUGCCGAAAGGUGAGCUAAUACCGGAUAAUCCCCUCACGGAUGUGAGGCGUAAAAGAUGGCCUCUACUUGUAAGCUAUCGCUCUUAGAUGGGCCUGCGUGCCAUUAGCAGUUGGUGGGGUAAUGGCCUACCAAGGCGGAGAUGGCUAGCUGGUCUGAGAGGAUGAUCAGCCACACUGGGACUGAGACACGGCCCAGACUCCUACGGGAGGCAGCAGUGGGAAUAUUGCGCAA